AGACUGCGAUCAGUAGCCGGACUGAGAGGUUGAACGGCCACAUUGGGACUGAGAUACGGCCCAGACUCCUACGGGAGGCAGCAGUGGGGAAUAUUGGGCGAUGGGCGCAAGCCUGACCCAGCAACGCCGCGUGAAGGAAGAAGGCUUUCGGGUUGUAAACUCCUUUUAUGAGGGACGAAGAAUGUGACGGUACCUCAUGAAUAAGCCACGGCUAACUACGUGCCAGCAGCCGCGGUAAUACGUAGGUGGCGAGCGUUAUCCGGAUUUACUGGGUGUAAAGGGCGCGUAGGCGGGGAAGCAAGUCAGAUGUGAAAUCCAUGGGCUCAACCCAUGAACUGCAUUUGAAACUGUUUCUCUUGAGUGCCGGAGAGGUAGACGGAAUUCCUAGUGUAGCGGUGAAAUGCGUAGAUAUUAGGAGGAACACCAGUGGCGAAGGCGGUCUACUGGACGGUAACUGACGCUGAGGCGCGAAAGCGUGGGGAGCAAACAGGGAUUAAGAAUAACCCUUGUUUAAGUCCAACGGCCUGGUAAACCGGAUUGAAUACUAGGUGUGGGGGGGACCUGGACCCCUUCCGUUGCCUCGCAGUUUAACACAAUAAGUAUUCCACCUGGGGAGUACGACCGCAAGGUUGAAACUCAAAGGAAUUGACGGGGGCCCGCACAAGCAGUGGAUUAUGUGGUUUAAUUCGAAGCAACGCGAAGAACCUUACCAGGGCUUGACAUCCAACUAACGAAGUAGAGAUACAUUAGGUGCCCUUCGGGGAAAGUUGAGACAGGUGGUGCAUGGUUGUCGUCAGCUCGUGUCGUGAGAUGUUGGGUUAAGUCCCGCAACGAGCGCAACCCUUGUUGCUAGUUGCUACGCAAGAGCACUCUAGCGAGACUGCCGUUGACAAAACGGAGGAAGGUGGGGACGACGUCAAAUCAUCAUGCCCCUUAUGUCCUGGGCUACACACGUAAUACAAUGGCGUUUAACAGAGGGAGGCAAAACCGCGAGGUGGAGCAAAUCCCCAAAAAACGUCUCAGUUCGGAUUGCAGGCUGCAACUCGCCUGCAUGAAGUCGGAAUUGCUAGUAAUCGCGGAUCAGCAUGCCGCGGUGAAUACGUUCCCGGGCCUUGUACACACCGCCCGUCACACCAUGAGAGUCGGGAACACCCGAAGUCCGUAGCUAACAGCAAUGAGAGCGCGGCGCGAAGUGGUUCGAUAAUUGGGGGGGUGCUGCG
rnacentral:rRNA from 1 species